CCCAGACUCCUACGGGAGGCAGCAGUGGGGGAUAUUGCACAAUGGGGGGAACCCUGAUGCAGCGACGCCGCGUGGGUGAAGGAGUAUUUCGGUAUGUAAAGCCCUAUCGGCAGGGAAGAAGAUGACGGUACCUGACCAAGAAGCACCGGCUAAAUACGUGCCAGCAGCCGCGGUAAUACGUAUGGUGCAAGCGUUAUCCGGAUUUACUGGGUGUAAAGGGAGCGCAGGCGGCACGGCAAGUCAGAUGUGAAAGCCCGGGGCUCAACCCCGGGACUGCAUUUGAAACUGCCGCGCUAGAGUGUCGGAGAGGCAAGUGGAAUUCCUAGUGUAGCGGUGAAAUGCGUAGAUAUUAGGAGGAACACCAGUGGCGAAGGCGGCUUGCUGGACGAUGACUGACGCUGAGGCUCGAAAGCGUGGGGAGCAAACAGGAUUAGAUACCCUGGUA
rnacentral:rRNA from 1 species